rnacentral:misc_RNA from 1 species
CUCUACCUCAGUUACACCGGAUCUAUUUCUCUCUUCAUUUCAUUCACUUCCUUCUAGUUUCGCAGCUACUAUCUCACUUGGCCUUACGGAAGAUCUCCAACGACCCCCAUACUUUACCGCGAACUGCUGCAGUAAAAAUGUGUUACUACCGACCACAACGAAAUUGCCCUGACCGAGAGUUAGAGGAGAAAAAAUGUGAAGAGAAAAAAAAAAAUAAAGAUAAAAAAUAAAAACCGGAACGAAAGAAACGGAGGAAGCGGAAAAAGCUCGGUGCAUCGAAUGGAGCCCCAGGAAUAGUGAGCUGUUUCAAAUCCUCGUUCUCUUUUUACGUCUUCUUCCUUACCAGAUCGCGCAGCUUGAUUCUCCGGCCGGAGCGACGGGUAUUACACCUAUAAUACAGAAUCGCGGAGCAAAAGUUCUUUUGCCCGGCUGUAAAUCGGUGACGAUUGUUUCGUUACUGCCCGGGGAUGGGGGGGGGGGGGGGGGGGAGACGGGUGGACGGAAUUUCAGCGAUUGCCUUCACCCCGCAAAUGAGGUAAUUCAAAAAAUAUCCAUUACGUCGUACGUAUUACUUGGGAAGUGGAUC